UACGUAGGUGACAAGCGUUGUCUGGAUUUACUGGGCGUAAAGAGCGCGCAGGCGGUUGAUCAAGUCGAGUGUGAAAGCCCCCGGCUCAACUGGGGAGGGUCAUUCGAUACUGAUCGACUCGAAGGCAGGAGAGGGUAGUGGAAUUCCCGGUGUAGUGGUGAAAUGCGUAGAUAUCGGAAGGAACAUCAGUGGCGAAAGCGACUUCCUGGACCAGUACCGACGUUCAGGCACGAAAGCGUGGGGAGCAAACAGG
rnacentral:rRNA from 1 species